UAAGGAAAUCACUACCAAGCAUCUCUUCUAUGUCAAGAACCGGACUAGAUACUGUGUUCCAUGGAUGAGUACGUGAAAACUGAGUGAUUCCACCAAGAUUAAUUACCGUUAACAGAGGGAGCCUGGAUUGGCAUGGCUUUAUUUUUCUGCUCCAGAGCCUAAAUGUUUUUCGUUUCUUCUUGGUUUUUCCUCCCCAACCCCCAGGCCGCCCCGGAAGUGCCUUUAGUUCCAGACACUGUGCGGAGGAUGUUACAGCUUAAUUUUAUCAACAGUUUCCUAAAGUGGACACCACUCUGUUAGCUUACAGAACAGGAAGCUGCAGCCCAGGGAGGUCGAGCGACUCUCUCAAGAUUAUGGUGCUCAUAAAUGGAGCCAAGGAUGCCAGCCACCGUGCUGCCAUGCUGCCCUCGGAACUGGAGCCAUUGGUUACUCUUCUCGUUGCUAUGACGAUAUACCUGACAAAGGCAACUCAAGGAGGGGAAGGUUUCUUUGGAUGACAGCUCAGGAAUACAGUCCGUUGUGGUAGGAGAGGUGUGGCUGCAAGAGCAAGGAAGCUCACAUUGCAUCCAUAAUCAGGAACCAGAGAACAGGGAGUGCUAUGCUGUGUCACAAAAAGCUCAGCCAGAUAAAAGUGCUCAGCCAAAACCAAAAAAAAAAAAAAAAA
rnacentral:lncRNA from 1 species